rnacentral:lncRNA from 1 species
AGAGAUGGGUUUCUGGACUCGCGAAGCAGCUGCAACAAGGCAUCACUCACUGUAUAAGUAUUUCCAUUUCUGAGAGCAAAAGGAAGAACUUAAGCGGGCGGCACUUGGAGUGUAAAUUGCUUUGUAGUAUUUAAAGGCAGAAUGGAUCCUGGGCAGCCGAGCUGAUCAUGAGGUUCCUGAGGCCUCCUAGCCAUGCUUCCUGUGCAGCCUAUGGAACUGAUCACUGUUGUAUUUUUAAACCUUAUUCCUGGAAGCACUACGGAUAUCAGAUCAAUUUAGAAAGCCAAAGAGUACCUCUGGGAAUGAAAUGGUAGUAAUAGAAACAAUAUUUGGCCAAACUAUCGCUGUAUGCCAAUGAUGCCAAAAAUCACAGUAACCUGGCAGCAACAAACCGGCAGGACUUCCUGUGAAAUCAUGACCACCAUGUGCUCUUUCAGCCUCUAUCAGUUCCUACCUCUAAGCACCUGAGAGCCAAAGCAAACCACAGGAAACCACAGGGCAAAUUUAUGUUACUCUGGAAGUAGAGAAAAUCAUGAUGGCAGAUCGGAGGCAGGACUAAUCUGCAACUUCCACUGAGACAGACAGACCAGUGUGUGGAGACUCACAUCAUGAACUUUUGCUCCAAGAACUACUGCAGGACCAUACCAGGAAAGCUGAGAGAAUCCACAGAAGGAUCUUGAUCACCACCGCAGGCUCCCUGAGAUGCUGAAGAAAACUUACUCAAACUAAACGUCAGCUUUUCCCGGCUCUCAAGCCUGCUGGUCCCUGAACUAAAACUCACAUUAUCAACUCUACUGGUUCUUAGGCCUUUGGAGUCAGACUGGAACUACAGCAUUGACUCUUCCGGAACUCCAGCUUACUGACUACAGAUCUUGGAACUUUUCAGCUUCCACAACCAUGCUUUGGUAUCAGGAUGAUGCUGGCCUCAUAAAAUGAGUCAGGGAGGAUUCCCUCUUUUUCUAUUGAUUGGAAUAGUUUCAGAAGGAAUGGUACCAGCUCCUCUUUGUACCUCUGGUAGAAUUCAGCUGUGAAUCCAUCUGGUCCUGGAGUUUUUUUGGUUGAAUGAAAGCCAAGCAUAUUCCAUCAUUUCCUAAAACCAAGAUAGAGCACAUAUGGGAACUUGUGAAAUAAGGAAACCAAAGCACAAAGAGAGAAAGAAAAGAAAGAGAAAAAAGGAAGAAAGAAAAGAAAGAUGAAAGAAAGAAAGAGAAAGAA